UGAAGUGCUAGGAUUGCAGGCAUGAGCCACCGUGCCUGGCCGCAAUAAUGAUUUUUUUAAAAAACAAGCAUUUACUGCAUUUUCACACACUAGAAGCUAAAAUACCAUGCUGUCCAGUUCAAAACAGGACACCUGGCAACCCUGUUCCUAAGUAUAACUAAGCUUUCUGCAAAGCCAACACCCAGUGCUUUCUGGCUGCAUUGGCCUGUCCUCAUUUCCCCCUGGAAAACUGUUUUAAAUAGUACAGAUAACAUUCUGCCUCUAUUACAAUUAGCAGCUUCUCUCACCAGGUUAGCUAGUUUGGCAAGUGCUAGUGUGGAGUAACCUAGUAUCUUCUUUCAAAACCUCCCAGUGGCUGCCUUCAGGUAGCAUGUGAAAAGCUGCCUAUGGAGAAUUCAGCAGGCCCUCCAGGCCCUCCAAGGUCUUUCUUGCUGGCAUCAUCUUCUGCCUCACCAGAUCGCCCUGAUUAUUAGAUGAUCUGGGCCCCCUACCUAAUAGAAAACCAGCCACUCUUCUUCCCAGCCCCAAGGGAUACUGAUGAGGGGGUCCUUAAAUCUGGGAUCCUUUCCUCUCCUUGCCCAAUAAUUGAACUCCUAAAAUCCUUUUAGUACCUGGGAAUCUGCAAAGACAACCUUGAAUUUGAACUGGAGCUAGGACUUCCAACGAAUUUGCCCAUGGGUGACUCUCUGAUACAUGGUCUCUAUUGUUCAACUUUCUCUAUUCUGAAGUCUAGAAGCCACUCUUGCUUCUGAAAGUGGGGCCUAAGAACCUGCAGCCUCACCAGGGAGCUUGGUAGGAAUCCAGAAUCUGAGGCAGGAUUCUAGACUUACUGGAUCAGACUCUGCAUUUCAACAAGAUUCCCCAGUGAUCCCUAGGCAUCUUGAAAUUUGAGAGGAAAAUGCUCAGGCCCUUCCCCUUCCCAUUGGCUGGGGAGAAUUCCUGUAAUUUGCCCUGUUUAAGGGUCCUUAAUCCCAGCUUCACUGUCCUCACUUUGCAAAGAAUCCUGAGUGGCUUCCUUCCAACACCUCAUCUGUUUUCCCCAGUGCCCCUGAAGCCAGGGCCUCUUUUCUUCAAGGCCACCCUCCAUCUCAUCUCGGGCUGAGGCUCCUCUCUUGAGGCCAUUUCCCAUGGUAGCAUUUCUUUGAGGGCUGCUUUUCUGCUGCUGUUCUCCCCAGGUAGGGCCUCUAAUACGGAUGGAAGUGAAGUGCUAUCCCUCAGAACUGCUUCAGCCCUUAGAGCUGGGCCAGGGUCUGAGUGGGCCUCUCACAGGGCCACAGGACUGCCCUUUCCCCCAGCUUGCCUAGAAACUGAGACCACUCACACCACAUGAACAUGCUAUCCUUGUUUCCCUUUCCUGCCAGCCUCAACACAACCAGAAUACAGCCCAGUAAUGGCUGCCUACAAAUGGGAGGCACCCAGGGAAGGGAGAGGGGUGCUGAUCAAGAACCAGCCUGGAGGAGGGUCAUGGUUUCUCGGAAACAAGGAGGAGGUUUAAGUCUAAAUUUCCAAAGCCUCACACCUGUGGUUUCACCGAAAAGGUACCGCUCCAGGAAACCAGUGAUGGACAAAGGAUGCACGGUAUAGCUAUGAUGUAAGAGCGCCCUCUGCAGGCCACAUGAAGAAACAGAUUGCCUGCCCAGAAGCAACAUGGCUAAUGGGUGCUACUGCGGAGACCCAGGCAACCUGAGAAUAGUCCUGGCAGCCAGACCUCCAGGGUGGAAACGGGAAGAGCAACAGAGAAAGGUCAGGAUUUAACAGGGAAAUGGAGGAGGGCAAAAACAGGGGUCAGGAAGUAUCUAUGCAUUUUGAUAUGAAAUUAAGAAGUUCAUUAAAAAUAUACAGCCAAGGCCCGUGGCACUUUUUGUAACAAGAUGCUAGCUUAUCUUCCCACUAGAUCUUGUUGGACUUUUUUCAAACUGUAUCUGAUCGUGUUUUUCAAACUAGGCCAGGAGGGCCCCUCAACUUCUAAAAUACAAAAAUUCUUUCUGCUCCUCUUUUCAAAUCUCCUCAGAUUCUGGACACACCCAGCAAUUCCAUGUGCCUUUUCAUUCCUUUAAUCCCGUUAACUUUUUGUCUCUUCUUAGCAAUGACUUCCUUUCAUUUUAGAGAAAGUUCUGCUGGUAACAUACUAUAUAAGCCAGGAGAGAAAAAGAACUUGAAAGAGGAACACAAUUUUCUUUUUUUUCAAAAGAGGUAAGGGAAAAAAAUAAAGGAAGAGGAGAAAUAUACUACUCAAUACAGUUGUCAAACAAAUUUCUUGGAACCAUGGCCUACAAGAAUACCUAUCUUAACUGCACUGCACUAGAAACCACAUUUUCAUAUUCCUUUUGUGAUAAUUCUAAGAUAAUGAAUUAGAUGUUAGCCAUUGUUUUCCAGAAUAGAAUUUCUGGAGUUACUGGUAGUUCAGGGAAUUUUAGUCACAAGAUAUAUGUUUUCUAUAGCUUUGUGUGUAUAUAUAUGUGUGUGUGCAUAUAUACUUAUAUACAUGCACAUAUAUACACAUACACAAAAACAUACAUGUGCUAUAGCUUUUGAAUGGAGAUAUAUGUGUGCAUACACACACACACACAAACACAUUCAUUCAUUCAUUUAUAUUAUACAGCUUCCCUGAAGACCAACAGAAGAAAAAUGCAGGAAAUAUAAAGGCAACCUGGGGUCGGUCCUAUGCAGUGAGCUCUUUGAGGUUUACCUGAGAAAGCACUGUUACAGAGACUAGAAAUACCCGAAGAAAUACUGCAGACCUACAUGGGAAUCAGAAGGUGGACUGCUGAACAACGGAUCAGCAUAAGAAGUUCAAAGAAUGAAGUUGCAAUGUCAUUAGGCUAUGAUAGCUUAGGCAUCCAUCUGACUAUUGGAGUAUCUUAUUCCCAUACAGCAUCUAUAUUAGGGCUAGAUUUGCCACUGGGGCCAGAAAUGCUUGCAGUCCUAUGGUAUUCAGAGCCGUAAAAAAAGAGCGAAUCAAAAAGACUAGGAGUUCAUUUUGACAGUCUUGGCAAUGUAUAGGAUUUUGCGAUUUUCUUUCGUAAAUUGGAGAUUCUCUUUUUCAUACAUAAAACAUUUUUCAUAGAACCCUAAAAAGCUCCCAGACCCUUGGUGUGGGGUCUAUACUAUUCAAUGGAUAAAAUGGUCCUGUCUGUCAUAGCCUCAAAGAUUUAGGAACCAGCAUUCCUGAUAGAAUUAAGGGAGUUGGAAGUGCUAGUUACUGGGAAUAAGCCACAAUGGAAGCUCCAGGGGAGCAGAAGCAAAACCGUAUCCCCAGCACCUACACAGGGCCUGGUUCCUAGUAGGGAAAGGUAAAUAUUUGAAAAUGAAUGAACAAAUUACUAGAUAAACCAGAAAGUGAAAGUAGAAGGGAGAUGAGAUCAUUAGAUUUAAGUAAACCAAACCUCAAGAGAUCAGAAAUCAAGAAAUUAUAUCAAGUAUAUUUAAAGGCUCUAGCAGGCCAGACGUGGUGGCCCAUGCCUGUAAUCCCAGCACUUUGGGAGGCCAAGGCGGGUGGAUCAAGUUCGAGACCGGCCCUACCAACCUGGUGAAACCCUGUUUCUACAAAAAAUACAAAAAAUCAGCUGGGCAUGCUGGCAGGUGACUGUAAUCCAGCUACUUG